GAUGAACGCUGACAGAAUGCUUAACACAUCAGCAAUUGAUUGGUGGCGGACGGGUGAGUAACGCGUAAAGCACUUGCUUCACUGCUAGGGACUACAUUUGGAAUCGAAUGCUAAUACCUAAUACUUGGCGAGAGCUUUGCGUCCCCUUAUCUAGUUGGAUUGGUAACGGCUCACCAAGGCGAUGAUGGGUAGCCGGCCUGAGAGGGUGAUCGGCCACAAGGGGACUGAGACGCGACCCUUACUCCUACGGGAGGCAGCAGUGGGGAAUAUUGUGCAAAGGACCAAAGUCUGAUCCAGCAAUUCUGGGUGCACGAUGAAGUUUUCGGAAUGUAAAGUGCUUUCAGUUGGGAAGCGGUACCAAAAGAAGAAGUGACGGCUAAAUACGUGCCAGCAGCCGCGGUAAUAG
rnacentral:rRNA from 1 species